rnacentral:rRNA from 1 species
ACUCCUACGGGAGGCAGCAGUGGGAAUAUUGCACAAUGGGCGCAAGCCUGAUGCAGCCAUGCCGCGUGUGUGAAGAAGGCCUUCGGGUUGUAAAGCACUUUCAGUUGUGAGGAAAGGUUAGUCGGCUAAUAAUCGGCUAGCUGUGACGUAUGCAACAGAAGAAGACACCGGCUAACGUCCUGCCAGCAGCCGCGGUAAUACGGAGGGUGCGAGCGUUAAUCGGAAUUACUGGGCGUAAAGCGCGUGUAGGUGGCUUGUUAAGCCAGAUGUGAAAGCCCCGGGCUCAACCUGGGAACUGCAUUUGGAACUGGCAGGCUAGAGUUUUGUAGAGGGUGGUAGAAUUUCAGGUGUAGCGGUGAAAUGCGUAGAGAUCUGAAGGAAUACCGGUGGCGAAGGCGACCACCUGGCCAAUAACUGACACUGAGACGCGAAGGCGUGGGUAGCAAACGGGAUUAGAUACCCUGGUAGGCUCUG